rnacentral:rRNA from 1 species
GAUGAACGCUGGCGGCGUGCUUAACACAUGCAAGUCGAACGAUGAAGCCCAGCUUGCUGGGUGGAUUAGUGGCGAACGGGUGAGUAACACGUGAGUAACCUGCCCUUGACUCUGGGAUAAGCCUGGGAAACUGGGUCUAAUACUGGAUAUGACUUCUCAUCGCAUGGUGGGGGGUGGAAAGAUUUAUUGGUCUUGGAUGGACUCGCGGCCUAUCAGCUUUUUUGUGAGGUAAUGGCUCACCAAGGCGACGACGGGUAUCCGGCCUGAGAGGGUGACCGGCCACACUGGGACUGAGACACGGCCCAGACUCCUACGGGAGGCAGCAGUGGGGAAUAUUGCACAAUGGGCGCAAGCCUGAUGCAGAGACGCCGCGUGAGGGAUGACGGCCUUCGGGUUGUAAACCUCUUUCAGUAGGGAAGAAGCGAGAGUGACGGUACCUGCAGAAGAAGCGCCGGCUAACUACGUG